UUUUUGAAAAUAAUAUAAAGUCUAAUCUGCCCACUGAUAAAUUAUUAAAGGGCUGCAGUAUAUUGACUGUACAAAGGUAGCAUAAUCAUUUGUCUCUUAAUUGGUGACUUGUAUGAAAGAUUGAAUGAAAUAUGAACUGUCUCAUUAUAAUUUAUAAAAUUUAAUUUUUUAGUAAAAAAGCUAAAAUAAAUUUAAAAGACGAGAAGACCCUAUAGAGUUUUAUAAUUUUUUUAAAAAUAAUAAAAUAUAAAUUUUUAAAUUAAAUUUAAUUAAAUUAUUUUGUUGGGGUGACAAAAAAAUUUAAUUAACUUUUUUUAAAAAAUUACAUUAAUUUAUGAUAAAAUGAUCCAUUAAUAAUGAUUAUAAGAAAAAAUUACCUUAGGGAUAACAGCGUAAUUUUUUUUUUUAGGUCAAAUAAGAAAAAAAGUUUGCGACCUCGAUGUUGGAUUAAGAUAAAAUUUAUAUGCAAAAGUUUAAAAUUUUGAUCUGUUCGAUCAUUAAAAUCUUACAUG
rnacentral:rRNA from 1 species